GUAGGUGGCAAGCGUUGUCCGGAAUUAUUGGGCGUAAAGCGCGCGCAGGCGGUUCUUUAAGUCUGAUGUGAAAGCCCACGGGAUCAACCGUGGAGGGUCAUUGGAAACUGGAGAACUUGAGUACAGAAGAGGAAAGCGGAAUUCCACGUGUAGCGGUGAAAUGCGUAGAGAUGUGGAGGAACACCAGUGGCGAAGGCGGCUUUCUGGUCUGUAACUGACGCUGAGGCGCGAAAGCGUGGGGAGCAAACAGGAUUAGAUACCCUGGUAGUCCACGCCGUAAACGAUGAGUGCUAAGUGUUAGGGGGUUUCCGCCCCUUAGUGCUGCAGCUAACGCAUUAAGCACUCCGCCUGGGGAGUACGGCCGCAAGGCUG
rnacentral:rRNA from 1 species